UCGUCAGCAAGCCUUUCCAAUUGUCGUCCGCCCGUUGCAGGACCAGUUCGUCAGCUGCUCUUUAUUCAAGAGGCAGCAUCCUUUUUGAAGUAAAAGACAGAUCGCUGCUUAUGAUGUACACUAUUCGAAAAUGCUUGAUUGCCGUGGCAUGUCUGAUUGCCUUUUUUUCUAUCAUAGAUGCUGCACCGGUUGAAAACACGCAAAAAACCCACGAGCAUGAAGAUACUGAAGAUGAAAAAGGACCAGUAACUGGUUUUAGUUCUAUUAGUAACCAGCCUAUCCGCCAAGAAAACAAUUUGAAAUGCUUGGAAAACGCUAAAAACAAUAUUAAUGAAGCGCGAAAAUGCCAUGAGAUCUACAGAAAUUGUCCUGCUGGAUACAAUUAUAACGUUAGGGCUAGAGCGUGCAAGCUAAUUGUACGUUGAGGCUCGGCCAAAAGACAUCAUCCGACUAGGAUUAAAGUGGAUAUUUACUAAUGUAACCUUCUUAAAGCGAAAAUAAAUUAGCAUCCAUUUAUAAUGAUACAGGCCAGCAAUAAUAUAUUUCAUUCCAUUUAUAGUUAACAAAAAGCAAAACAAUAAAACUAUAUGAA